rnacentral:misc_RNA from 1 species
AAGAAAAAAAAAUAUGAAAUUUACAAAUGUACGUAAUCUGUAUAAUAAAUAUUAAAAAAAUGGUUUAAACAUGAAGAUCAUUUUUUUUUUUUUUACACGUGAUCUUAUAAAACUAUCAAAUUUUUUUUUAAAUCCAUUUAUUUUUAUAAAAAUAAUUAAUUUAUAAAUGUAAAUCUAAUUCACCCAAAUCUAAAGUUUGCCUUAUAUUGGUAGGACGAUACAUUGAAUCCAUUACCACUUACAUAUAAGGAUUUCAAUUUUUCAAGUUGCUUAAUUUUGAACCAAGAGUAAAUAAAAAUUAAAUUAAAUUAAAUUAA